UACGGAGGGGGCUAGCGUUGUUCGGAAUUACUGGGCGUAAAGCGCGCGUAGGCGGACCUGCAAGUCGGGUGUGAAAGCCUUGAGCUCAACUCAAGAAAUGCACUCGGUACUGGGUGACUAGAGGACCGGAGAGGAUAGUGGAAUUCCCAGUGUAGUGGUGAAAUACGUAGAGAUUGGGAAGAACACCAGUGGCGAAGGCGGCUAUCUGGACGGUUUCUGACGCUAAGACGCGAAAGCGUGGGGAGCAAACAGG
rnacentral:rRNA from 1 species